AUGAACGCUGGCGGCGUGCCUAAUACAUGCAAGUCGAGCGAACAGACGAGGAGCUUGCUCCUCUGACGUUAGCGGCGGACGGGUGAGUAACACGUGGAUGACCUACCUAUAAGACUGGGAUAACUUCGGGAAACCGGAGCUAAUACCGGAUAAUAUAUUGAACCGCAUGGUUCAAUAGUGAAAGACGGUUUUGCUGUCACUUAUAGAUGGAUCCGCGCCGCAUUAGCUAGUUGGUAAGGUAACGGCUUACCAAGGCAACGAUGCGUAGCCGACCUGAGAGGGUGAUCGGCCACACUGGAACUGAGACACGGUCCAGACUCCUACGGGAGGCAGCAGUAGGGAAUCUUCCGCAAUGGGCGAAAGCUUGACGGAGCAACGCCGCGUGAGUGAUGAAGGUCUUCGGAUCGUAAAACUCUGUUAUUAGGGAAGAACAAAUGUGUAAGUAACUAUGCACGUCUUGACGGUACCUAAUCAGAAAGCCACGGCUAACUACGUG
rnacentral:rRNA from 1 species